CGAAUGGGACGACAGUAUAUACAGGCUAUGUCUUCGAUAUACUGGAAGCAAUCUCCAGAAAGCUAAAUUUCAGUUAUGAUGUCGUCGAACCGUUUGAUCUCACCUGGGGGUUAUUGGUAAACGGCUCAUGGACUGGCAUGGUUGCUCAGCUAAGCAGAAGGGAGGUAGACAUGGUAGCUUCCGAUCUAACUAUUCACUACGGAAGAUCACAGGAAAUAGAAUAUAUCCUCCCGGCGAUUAAAGUCGACGGAUCGGACAUAAUAUACAAGAUGAAGACUGACACAACAAGGUCUUUCUACUUAGUAGCCAAGCCUCUACAAGUUGAAGUCUACAUCACAUUCGCAGCAGCUAUUGGAGGGUUAUUUAUUGUAUUUAUUUUAGUUGAAAAUCACAGCAGUAUCUUCACCGCAAAAUGUGAUGGAACAUCAGCAGUUUUCAUUCGGCAGUUACCAAGUAUUUGCUGGCAGUUCG